rnacentral:tRNA from 1 species
AUUUAAAUAGCUUAUAAUAAAGAGCAUAAUAUUGAAAAUAUUAAGGAAAUUUUCAAUUUUUAAAUA